rnacentral:rRNA from 1 species
CAAUAACGUAUAUUAAAGUUGUUGCGGUUAAAAGCUCGUAGUUGGAUUUCUGUCGAAAGUGCUUGGUCCCCACUAUGUGGGCGUAUCUAAGUCGCUUUUGGCAUCCUCCUAUUUUUCGUUGACUGCACUUCAUUGGGUGGUUUUCGGAGUAGGACUUUUACUUUGAGGAAAUUCGAGUGUUUACGGCAGGCAAUCGCCUUGUAGAUAUUAGCAUGGAAUAAUGGAAAAGGACUUCAACCUCUUCUGUUGGUCUGAGAGGCUGUAGUAAUGAUUAAUAGGGAUAGUUGGGGGCAUUAGUACUUAACUGUCAGAGGUGAAAUUCUCCGAUUUGUUAAAGACUAACUUAUGCGAAAGCAUUUGCCAAGGAUGUUUUCAUUAAUCAAGAACGAAAGUUAGGGGAUCAAAGACGAUCAGAUACCAU